GAUGAACGCUAGCGGCAGGCUUAAUACACGCAAGUCGAGGGGCAGCAGGACUGUAGCAAUACAGUUGCUGGCGACCGGCAAACGGGUGCGGAACACGUACGCAACCUUCCUUUAAGUGAGGGAUAGCCCAGGGAAACUUGGAUUAAUACCUCGUAAUAUUUGAGAGUGGCAUCACUUUCUAAUUAUAGCUCCGGCGCUUAAAGAUGGGCGUGCGACUGGUUAGGUAGUUGGCGGGGUAACGGCCCGCCAAGCCUGCGAUCAGUAACUGGUGGGAGAGCACGACCAGUCACACGGGCACUGAGACACGGGCCCGACCCCUACGGGAGGCAGCAGUAGGGAAUAUUGAUCAAUGGACGCAAGUCUGAACCAGCCAUGCCGCGUGGAGGAUGAAGGUCCUCUGGAUUGUAAACUUCUUUUAUCUGGGAAGAAACCCAUAUUUUCUAGUGUGGUUGACGGUACCAGAUGAAUAAGCACCGGCUAACUCCGUGCCAGCCGCCGCAGUAACAC
rnacentral:rRNA from 1 species